ACUCCUACGGGAGGCAGCAGUGGGGAAUAUUGCACAAUGGGCGCAAGCCUGAUGCAGCAACGCCGUGUGAGUGAAGAAGGUUUUCGGAUCGUAAAACUCUGUCCUAAGGGAAGAAAAAAUGACGGUACCUUAGGAGGAAGCCCGGCUAACUACGUGCCAGCAGCCGCGGUAAUACGUAGGGGGCAAGCGUUAUCCGGAAUCACUGGGGCGUAAAGGGUGCGUAGGCGGCUUAGCAAGCCAGGGGUGAAAGGCAUUGGCUCAACCAAUGUAAGCCUUUGGAACUGUUAAGCUUGAGUGCAGGAGAGGUAAGUGGAAUUCCUAGUGUAGAGGUGAAAUUCGUAGAUAUUAGGAGGAACACCAGUGGCGAAGGCGACUUACUGGACUGUAACUGACGCUGAUGCACGAAAGCGUGGGUAGCGAACAGGAUUAGAUACCCUGGUAGGUCAGUC
rnacentral:rRNA from 1 species